rnacentral:SRP_RNA from 1 species
GCAGGGUGGGUGACACACUCCUGUAAUACCUGCUACUGGAGAGGCUGAGACUAGAGGAUUGCUUGAGUUCGGAGAGUCUUGAAUUGUAGUGGGCUAAGCCAAUCUGGUGACUACGCUAAGUUUGGCAUUAAUAAGGUGAGCUCCCAUGAACAAGAGGCCGCCAGGUUGCCUAAAGAGGGGCAAACCAAUUCAGGUCAGAAAAUGGAACAGGUCAAAGUUCUUCAGCUGAUCUGAAUCCACCUAGAUCUGUAAGUAGCCACUGCAUUCCAGCCUGGGGCAAGAUAGGGAAACAUAAUCUUU